GAAACAGCACAGCAAGACUUGGGGGCUUGAGAGAACCUUCCAGAACCAACCAGAAAGCAGGGUUCCUGAGAUCUGUUCCUGGAGGGUCAGUGUGUGACAGUUUGCAGAAUUUCCGGCUCUUCCCUCCAGGACCGGAACUGGGGAGUCUUGACCUGCAGAACAUGUGCAGUGCUGGUUCUGCGAAUUAAGGCAUUACAGAAAUUCAACCAGCACAUCACCAGGAACCCCCCCCCCCCCCCCCC